rnacentral:rRNA from 1 species
AGUGAACGCUGGCGGUAGGCCUAACACAUGCAAGUCGAACGGCAGCACAGUAAGAGCUUGCUCUUACGGGUGGCGAGUGGCGGACGGGUGAGGAAUACAUCGGAAUCUACUUUUUCGUGGGGGAUAACGUAGGGAAACUUACGCUAAUACCGCAUACGACCUACGGGUGAAAGCAGGGGAUCUUCGGACCUUGCGCGAUUGAAUGAGCCGAUGUCGGAUUAGCUAGUUGGCGGGGUAAAGGCCCACCAAGGCGACGAUCCGUAGCUGGUCUGAGAGGAUGAUCAGCCACACUGGAACUGAGACACGGUCCAGACUCCUAAGGGAGGCAGCAGUGGGGAAUAUUGGACAAUGGGCGCAAGCCUGAUCCAGGCAUACCGCGUGGGUGAAGAAGGCCUUCGGGUUGUAAAGCCCUUUUGUUGGGAAAGAAAAGCAGCAGGUUAAUACCCCGCUGUUCUGACGGUACCCAAAGAAUAAGCACCGGCUAACUCCGUG